CAUUAUACUCCUUCACUGCCUGCUCUGUCUGGAGGACCCGCACAUCAAUGCCAUGUUUCUUGAGGUACUCCACAGUUGAUGAAGGCACCUGGGAAGGUGGAAAAGAGAUGAGUACAGGGUCUUGCUCUGUUGCCUAAGCUGGAGUGCAAUGGCACAAUCAGCUUACCACAGCCUCAAAAUCCUGGGCUCAAGUGAUUUUCCCACCUCAGGCUCCUGAGCAGCUAGGACUACAGGUGUGCAUCACCAUGUCUGGCUAUAAAAAAGAAUUUUGUAGAGAUGGGGUCUCACUAUGUUUCCCAGGAUGGUCUCAAAUUCCUGGCCUCAAGUGAUCCUCCGGCCUUGGUCUCCAAAAGUGCUGGGAUUACAAGCAUGAACAACUGUGCCCAGACUUGAUUUUCUUUCUUAAGCCCCACAUUUGAACUGAUGGUCUUGACUUUUUGAUACAUGUUUUUGUAAAGCACACAAGUUUUUAAUUUUGAUGAGGUCUAUUAAUUUAUUUUUCCUUUUGUUGCUUGUGGAUUUGGUGUUAUUUCUAAGAAUCCAUUGCCAUAUCCAAGGUCUUAAAGAUUUACCCUUGUUUUCUUC
ensembl:lncRNA novel transcript, antisense to AAMDC